rnacentral:rRNA from 1 species
GAUGAACGCUAGCGGCAGGCUUAAUACAUGCAAGUCGAGGGGCAGCAUGACUGUAGCAAUACAGUCGAUGACGACCGGCAAACGGGUGCGGAACACGUACACAACCUUCCUACAAGUGGGGAAUAGCCCAGAGAAAUUUGGAUUAAUACCCCGUAACAUAGCGAUGUGGCAUCACAUUGCUAUUAUAAUUUCGGCGCUUGUUGAUGGGUGUGCGGCUGAUUAGAUAGUUGGCGGGGUAACGGCCCACCAAGUCUACGAUCAGUAGCUGAUGUGAGAGCAUGAUCAGCCAAACGGGCACUGAGACACGGGCCCGACUCCUACGGGAGGCAGGAGUAAGGAAUAUUGGACAAUGGACGCAAAUCUGAUCCAGCCAUGCCGCGUGAAGGAUUAAGGUCCUCUGGAUUGUAAACUUCUUUUAUAAGGGACGAAAAAAGGUCUUUCUAGAUCGUCUGACGGUACCUUAUGAAUAAGCACCGGCUAACUCCGUGCCAGCCGCCGCGGUAAAAC